rnacentral:rRNA from 1 species
UAGGGAAUCUUCCCCAAUGGGCGAAAGCCUGACGGAGCAACGCCGCGUGAGUGAUGAAGGUCUUCGGAUCGUAAAACUCUGUUAUUAGGGAAGAACAAAUGUGUAAGUAACUAUGCACGUCUUGACGGUACCUAAUCAGAAAGCCACGGCUAACUACGUGCCAGCAGCCGCGGUAAUACGUAGGUGGCAAGCGUUAUCCGGAAUUAUUGGGCGUAAAGCGCGCGUAGGCGGUUUUUUAAGUCUGAUGUGAAAGCCCACGGCUCAACCGUGGAGGGUCAUUGGAAACUGGAAAACUUGAGUGCAGAAGAGGAAAGUGGAAUUCCAUGUGUAGCGGUGAAAUGCGCAGAGAUAUGGAGGAACACCAGUGGCGAAGGCGACUUUCUGGUCUGUAACUGACGCUGAUGUGCGAAAGCGUGGGGAUCAAACAGG